AUUAUGUCGCUUGUUCUAUAAAAUAUAUAUGUGCUUUGAUUAAAUUUAUGUUUGUGUGUUUUUAUACAAAGUUUAUUGGUGAAUAUCUUUUGACUGCCAGUUGAAUUUGACAGUUCGAAAUGUUUUUCAAACAGUUAAGUUUAAAACGGGAUAUUUUACGAUUUCUAAAGAACUAAAUUAUAAAACAUAAAUCUCGUAUUUUUAUAAAUAAUGAUUUUAAACAAACUCAAAAAAAUUUUUUUAAUAAUUACUACACUUUUUAUUUUCUUGAGGAUAAAAUUAAAUCGUGACAAAUAAACAAAAUAAAUAUAAAAAAA